AUUAUGGAGAGUUUGAUCCUAGCUCAGGAUGAACGCUGGCGGCAUGCUUAACACAUGCAAGUUGAACGGGUUUAAGUUUAUUAAACUUAAACAAGUAGCGGACGGGUGAGUAACGCGUAAGAACCUACCUUUAGGUAAGGAAUAACUAUUGGAAACGAUAGAUAAUACCUUAUAAGCUUAUAGUAAAAGAUAAAAUCGCCUAAGGAUGGGCUUGCGUCUGAUUAGCUUGUUGGUGAUUUAAAAGAUUCACCAAGGCAACGAUCAGUAGUUGGUCUAAGAGGAUGAUCAACCACACUGGGACUGAGACACGGCCCAGACCUCUACGGAGGGCAGCAG
rnacentral:rRNA from 1 species